GACGAACGCUGGCGGCGUGCUUAACACAUGCAAGUCGAACGGUAACGCACCAGCUUGCUGGGGUACACGAGUGGCGAACGGGUGCGUAACACGUGGGUGACCUGCCCCGCUUUUCGGGGUAAGCCUGGGUAACUGGGUCUACUCCCGGAUCGGAUCGCACCGAGAGGGUGAGGUAGAAAGUGUUUCGGUGUGGGAUGGGCCCGCGGGCUAUCAGCUUGUUGGUGGGGUAAUGGCGUACCAAGGCGGCGACGGGUAGCCGGCCUGAGAGGGUGGACGGCCACAUGGGUGCUGAGACACGGAGCAGACGGCUAUGUGAGGCAGCAGGGGGGAAUAUUGCACAAUGGGCGGAAGUCUGAUGCAGCGACGCCGCGUUUGUGAUGACGGCCUGCUGGGUGUAAACACCUGUCGCCAUCUACGAAGGUUUUCUGACGGUAGAUAGAGAAGAAGCACCGGCUAACUACGUG
rnacentral:rRNA from 1 species